UUUAAACACACAUGAACAAUAAGUGUCUCAUUAUCCUUUAAACUAAUUACUGCAUUAGGAAUUAUUAGAAAAGUGUGACCAUUUUUUAAUUUGCCAAUAAAGCAUAACUUUAAACUAAAGCUGGGCUACCUUAACUCUUGACUUGCUGCUUCUAAAUCUGUAUCUGAAUUUUACUGAUGCAGAUAUUUUUUUCUCUCAUGAACAGAAUAACAGCUAUAGCUGAAAUCUGUAUGUGAAGAAGUACUUCUGUCCUCCUCUUGAAAGGCCCUUAAAAAAAAAAAAAA